rnacentral:rRNA from 1 species
CCUACGGGAGGCUGCAGUGAGGAAUAUUGGACAAUGGGCGAGAGCCUGAACCAGCCAAGUCGCGUGAGGGAGUACUGCCCUAUGGGUUGUAAACCUCUUUUGUCGGGGAGCAAAAGCCGGACGUGUCCGUCUGUGAGAGUAACCGAAGAAAAAGCAUCGGCUAACUACGUGCCCGCGGCCGCGCGAAUACGUGGGAUGAGAGCGUUAUCCGGAUUUAUUGGGGUUCAAGGGUGCGCAGGCGGAUUUUUAAGUCAGCGGUCAAGUCGUGGGGCUCAACCCCAUCCAGCCGUUGAAACUGGGGAGAUGGAGUGUGCGAGAGGUAUGCGGAAUGCGUGGUGUAGCGGUGAAAUGCAUAGAUAUCACGCAGAACCCCGAUUGCGAAGGCAGCAUACCGGUGCACAACUGACGCUCAGGCACGAAAGCGUGGGUAUCGAACAGGAUUAGAUACCCGGGUAGUC